GCCCGGUCCAGGCUCCCCGCCCCCAUCCUCCCCUUGUCUGCUCCAGAGGGCCUCCUCCCCAACCACCCAGCCGGUUCUCGCCCCUCCUACAAGGCCCCAGCCGGCCGCCACUGGGUCCCUUCCCUACUUCAGCCACCCCAGUCCGAGCCCCAGCCCCGCAACUGGGCCUUCUUCCGUCCUUCAGUCUCCCUCCCUCCAGCCCAGCCCAUCCCCCUCAUCGCGGCGUAAAGCCCCCACGGACCGGGACCCAAUCUUUCAGUCCUGUCCACAUUUCCCUUCAGCCCCCCCGAACGGUGGCCCAUUCCCCAAAUUGUUUCCAUCUUCCCCUUUGAAUCCCUUCCCUUAUUUCAACUGCACCUUCCAACCAGAUGCUGCUUUUAUCGCUGCUCCUCCCGCCCUGGUCUGGCUCCGUCCUUCAGUUCUCAACUGGACCCAUUAUCCACACCUGUCACCCUCACCCCCGGCCCCCCGCCCCCCAGGCCUAAUAGUCUUUACAGAGAUGCCUGGCCCUCCCCUUGGUCCUUCACUCCAGCUUCAUCUUUUCUCUCCCGUCCUCUUUAGACACCCCUUUCCCCAAUUAGGCCCCGUUUCCCUUGUCUCCCAACAUCAUCAUUUUUUAUUUCUCACUUUGGGCUUGACUCCUGUCCGCCAUCCUGUUCCCCUAAUGCCGUUCCCCCUAACACUCUUCUAAACACUCCUACCCUUUAAACACUUUCUCUCAUGACUGCUCUUACUCCUCCCAUCCUAACUGAACCCCAUUUCUAGAAUAUUAGAUCACAGAACUCAGCCCAUUCAGCUUCUGUUGAAGACCUGCUCUCUUUACCUGUACCUCCAGUACUUUCAAAUUAGUCCUCAUACUCUGUUCACUGGGCCUUUGCAAGUUUUCUCCCUCAAAAUCUGACCCCAGCUUUUCCCCAGUAAUUGUAGAGAAAGGCUGCACAUCUUUCUGAUACUGAGUAUCAGUAGUUUUCUAAAGUUGCUUCAUGUAUACUUCCCCCUGCGGACACUCAGCAGAGUUCAUUAUUCAGUUUUCCUUUCUCUACUUCUCUUUUUCUCCAACGCAGCCCUUGUCAUGCAUCUCUCCCUCCAGCAUAUCCCAUAUUUCUCCCCCAAAUUCUUCUGUGAAAUUGUUUCCUAAUUCCCCAUGAUUUUUAACCCUAGCUGCUUAUAUAUCAGGAUGGCUUUUAUAUUUACAAACUGGGUUCUAAUUCUCUUCCUCUUUGUUUCCCAAGACUUGUUGCUGCCCCCUCCAAAAUGAGCUUGAAGCUCAUUAGUUCCCCACACCAGGGUCUUUGUCUCCAGAUUUGGCCUUCUGGCUUCUGCCUCUCACUUGAGCCUCAUUGUUUUGCAAGCGGACUCAUUCCCUGCAGAUCAUCCUUAAGUUGUGCUAUGGUCUGUCUAGAAGAAAUGGAUUUUAGUUCCUCUUAAAAACAUAGCCCUCCUUAUUGCUUUUGUUCACACAGAGCUCUUAACUACCACUCAAGGUUUCUCUCACACUUGGGUUCCCCUCUCACAAAAAGUGGUCUCUAACUUGCUCUUUCCCAUUCCUUUAGCAGCCCCAUCCUUAAAUAUUCCAUCCGAGUUUUCAGCUUUUUUUUUUUGCAUCUCAGUGUUUCUCAACCCUAGGUGCACAUGUGAAAAAUCAAUCCCUUGGCCCCCACCCUUCAAAAAUCUUGUGUAAUUAGCCUAGGGUGGGGCCUGGUAUUAGCAUAUAUUUUGAAGCUCUCCAAUGGGCAACCAGGGUUGAGAAACACUGCCUCCUCUCCCUUCCCCUGAGAAGACCCUUCCCAUCAUAUUCCUUUAGUGGGUGUCAGCCCUUUCUCCAAGGAAAAGUGUGUUGUCAUCUUCAGGGAUUUCUUAGUCCUUCUUUCCCAGGAACUCUCCAGAACUAUUCCAAGAUUUCUCCAGAAGUAUGCAAGAUAUCUGCAGCAGCCUCUUAAAUUCUACCUUGUUACACAGUUCUCAGCCAUUAGCCACUUUCUUCUAAUUCUUAGACUCUUCUCUAACUGCCACAUCCUUGUUUCUUCCCUACAUGCAGAAAGAAAAUUCACUCAUUUCCUGGUUUGUAAUGGUCCUGUUUGAUCCAGUACCCCGACCUCCCAAGCCCUCUACCUACAGCCCCAUUCUGGUGCUGUUUCCCUUUUCCAAGAUUCUCGAUGUCCAUCUUUCUCUGCAGUCCCUUAUUUCAUUUUCUCUAAACCAGUCCUCUGGAGCUGAGGAGGUGGAGGUGGAUAUGUACUUGGGUGGUGCUGGAUGCAAAAGAUGUUCUUGUGGUAAGGAAGGCUGUAUGUGCUGAGGAUAGAACCCAGGUAUGAGAGGGCAUGAUGAAGUGCAGGGGCAGAGGGAAGCUGAGGAACCUGCCAGAAAUCCCAGGGCUUUAUGAGGUGGAUUUUUCUUUUCUAGUCUUAGGUUCUUGUCUCUGCAGUGGGAUUUGGAAAGUGGUGGUGCGGUCUCAGCAGGCCUUCUCUAGAGUCCUCCAGACUGAACUGGUCUAGGUGCCAAGUCCUUUGCAGCUUGAGCCCCGAGAGUUGAGCACUUGGGACCAGUUUAUAAGGGUCUUCACCCACUGUGAGUUCCAGUCCUGGCUUUGCCAAUGUGCUUACAUGUUAAAAAAAGAGAGGGUUGGGUUCACUUAACUUUGAAGAUUUCUUCCAGACUCCUAAGUGGCAAAACAGGCUUGCUUGUCUCCAGAGAAGCCUUGCUUAGCGUGUUGGUAAUUUGAGGGGCUUGGCUGUGUGAAAGGCAGGUGGAGGGAGGAGCCAGCUGGCCUGCGAGGCCUGGGCAGGAGCAGGGCCUUGGAUCAGGCUCCUCCACUUUGGCCUGGGGGUGGGGUGGUGUGUGCAGGGUGUCUGGUUUCUUUGAGUUAUGGCAGUCCUGUUUCUAUAGCAUGUUUCUGAGCCUCCUCUGGCCUGCCCCUGACUUUUUAAGAGGAAUCCUGGUAGAGCUCUAAGGAUUUGGAUUAACAUCCAGAUGUUCUUCUCAGUCAGUGUAUUGAUGUCUUCUGUCCACAGAGGGGCGAGCUAUGGUUGAGCGCCCACUGGGUGGGGGAUGGGCUUUGGAGCUUCGCUGGCUUCUGUGAAAUACUGGAGGUGGAGGCUUGGUUUCCUGGAAGAAACAGUUACAGAGGAGCCUGCAGUAUGUUUUGGAAACAAGGCUCUUCCUUUCCAGUUUUGUUCUGAUCAGUACCUCCAAAAUAUCAAAAUUCCUAAUGGUGGGGGAGGGAAGAAGACACUAGUACAAGAACUUCAUUAUGGUUUUUGAGCAACAGGUUUAAAUCCAAGUAAAUCAAGCUUCAUGGACCUUUCUCUCCCUGGGUUGUCGCGGCAGGAAGUGUCUGUCUAGGGCUUGCUUAGUACCUUUUGACAGUACAGUGUGUGGAGAAGAGCUUGCCCUGGCUUCAGAGCCUUAUAAUCAGUCUGUGUCUGAUGGGCUUUGAGAAGAAGCAUUUGGUUCCACAGGUGGUUUUUCGGGGUGGUGGGAGCAGCCAGGGUACAAGGGCACAUCCUAGUGACCCUGAGCAUCUUCACUGAAUGAUUCCCUGAGUAAUGGGAUUUCUGUCUCUCCCACCAAUAAUUUGGUUUUGAAUAUUCCGUAUUUAUUGGCACUGGCUUGUUGGGUGUGGAGUGGUAGGGAGAGCAAGUGUUCCUUUGAUGUGCCUUCAAGGUCAUCCCCACAGAGAGAGAGAGAGACCUAGCAUAGUCAGGAAUCCCCCCAAAUUGGAGAUAUGCUUUAGAAAGCUGUGUGGACUAAUAAUAGUAAUUCCUCACUCUGCCAAGAAAUCCAAAUUUAGCCUCAGAGCAACUCAGAAAUAUAAAAAAUGGGAACUGAAGUAGGGGGUUGAGGAAUGUUAUAUAUGUGUAUUUCUAGCAAAAAAAAGUAAUUCAUCCCUUUUUGAAACAGUACACAGUGUUGAUUCAAGUUGAUACCAUGAUUUGGAAGGCUGUGAAGCCUAAUUGAAAUCUAUAGACCAGAAAUGGCCAAGUAGGUUAGCAAGAAUUUUGUUACUUGAAGUGAACAAAAUAGGUUGUUUCUGGUUAGCAGCAGUGGAGUGAAAUGCUUUGUCUAAGAUAAGCCUCAAAAAAAAAAAAAAAAAAAGAUAAGCCUCAAGAAAAUUCCCCAGGCCUUU